AGAGACUGCAAGCGUUGUUCGGAUUCAUUGGGCGUAAAGGGUGCGCAGGCGGCUCGUUAAGUCGGAUGUGAAAUCUCACAGCCUAACUGUGAUAGGUCAUUCGAAACUGGCGGGCUUGAGGGCUGGAGAGGAGACUGGAAUGGUCGGUGUAGCGGUGAAAUGCGUAGAGAUCGACUAGAACACCGGUGGCGAAGGCGAGUCUCUGGACAGUUCCUGACGCUCAGGCACGAAAGCCAGGGGAGCAAACGGGAUUAGAUACCCCGGUAGUCCUGGCCCUAAACGGUGUUCACUUGGUGUGCGGGGAGUCGACCCCCUGCGUGCCGUAGCUAACGCGAUAAGUGAACCGCCUGGGAAGUACGGCCGCAAGGCUA
rnacentral:rRNA from 1 species